AUUGAACGCUGGCGGCAGGCCUAACACAUGCGAGUCGAGCGGAUGAAGGGAGCUUGCUCCUGGAUUCAGCGGCGGACGGGUGAGUAAUGCCUAGGAAUCUGCCUGGUAGUGGGGGAUAACGUCCGGAAACGGGCGCUAAUACCGCAUACGUCCUGAGGGAGAAAGUGGGGGAUCUUCGGACCUCACGCUAUCAGAUGAGCCUAGGUCGGAUUAGCUAGUUGGUGGGGUAAAGGCCUACCAAGGCGACGAUCCGUAACUGGUCUGAGAGGAUGAUCAGUCACACUGGAACUGAGACACGGUCCAGACUCCUACGGGAGGCAGCAGUGGGGAAUAUUGGACAAUGGGCGAAAGCCUGAUCCAGCCAUGCCGCGUGUGUGAAGAAGGUCUUCGGAUUGUAAAGCACUUUAAGUUGGGAGGAAGGGCAGUAAGCUAAUACCUUGCUGUUUUGACGUUACCAACAGAAUAAGCACCGGCUAACUUCGUG
rnacentral:rRNA from 1 species